UACAGGGGGUGCAAACGUUGCUCGGAAUCAUUGGGCGUAAAGCGCACGUAGGCGGUUCGUUAUGUCGGAUGUGAAAGCCCUUGGCUUAACCGAGGAAGUGCAUCCGAAACUGGCGAGCUAGAGUACGAAAGAGGAUCGCGGAAUUCCCGGUGUAGAGGUGAAAUUCGUAGAUAUCGGGAGGAACACCGGGUGGCGAAGGCGGCGAUCUGGGUCGAUACUGACGCUGAGGUGCGAAAGCGUGGGGAGCAAACAGG
rnacentral:rRNA from 1 species